AUCACAAUAAGUACUUAAGGUCCUCUCACUCCUUUAUUGCCAUUAUUGACCACAAAAACAAGCACAUACACAAAGUCCUAUAACAUCCAAUUCAUAGCUACUAUCCCAAACCCUCUUACACCACCAUCACCAAAAACAUGUAGCUAGUAACAUCCAAGUCCUCCAUACCCCAUGAUGCUCUUCUCUUCAUGCAAAGGCGAAAAAUAUGAAAUUUUGGUGGGCUUGCGCCAAGCUAAAGAGCUAAGACGAGCCGACAUAUUAGAAGAUAUUGUGGUGGUAAUGGUAAUGGUAAUGAUGGUGGUAAUAUUAAUGGUAGUUGGUAUAAUAGUAUACCAAAUUCCAUAAGUUUAUAUACAUAUAUAAAAUAUGUAUACUUUCAAAUUCCAAAAGAAUAAUAAGUUAAAAGAUCACUGCCGAGUAAGAAUCUCUCCUUAAUUUAUUAAGGAUGAUUUUCUUCUCCUGAAAAGGGCAACUUCAAAUCCUUUGGCAUUUUUCCAUCAAGUCCCUCUCUACCUCCCUUCACUCUCUUUUGUGAAUUCAGGAUUUCAGAGAGAAAAGCAACAUCGAUCCAUCACUAAUUCACUAUAUUAUGUAAUAUGUAUUGUGUGUUCUCUUUUUUUUUUUUAAUGUAGUUCUUGCUUAAUUUGCACUUUAUGUGAUUUCAAUUGCAGGUUAUGUCUACUAUUAUUAUCACUAUGAUCAACUUUAUAGUAUAGUUUUACUGUAUUGGUAGGUAGCAAAUAAUAAUGUAAUCUAUGUUGAAUAGGCUUCUAUAUGGCCAAAGUGUGGUGGCUUUUUUCUUUCAAUUUUUUUUUUAUAAAAUGAUUAAAUAUCUUA